ACCUAGCGGGUUCAAUUGGUAGAGCAUGUGAUUCUUGAUCUCAAGGUCAUGAGUUCAAGCCCCAUGUUGGGUG
rnacentral:tRNA from 1 species